AUUGAACGCUGGCGGCAUGCUUUACACAUGCAAGUCGAACGGUAACAGGCCGCAAGGUGCUGACGAGUGGCGAACGGGUGAGUAAUGCAUCGGAACGUGCCCAGUCGUGGGGGAUAACUGAUCGAAAGAGCAGCUAAUACCGCAUACGAUCUCUGGAUGAAAGCGGGGGAACGUAAGGCCUCGCGCGAUCGGAGCGGCCGAUGUCAGAUUAGGUAGUUGGUGGGGUAAAGGCUCACCAAGCCAACGAUCUGUAGCUGGUCUGAGAGGACGAACAGCCACACUGGGACUGAGACACGGCCAGGACUCCUACGGGAGGCAGCAGUGGGGAAUUUUGGACAAUGGGGGCAACCCUGAUCCAGCAAUGCCGCGUGCAGGAAGAAGGCCUUCGGGUUGUAAACUGCUUUUGUACGGAACGAAACGGUCUGGGUUAAUACCCUGGGCUAAUGACGGUACCGUAAGAAUAAGCACCGGCUAACUACGUGCCAGCAGCCGCGGUAAUAC
rnacentral:rRNA from 1 species